ACCCGGGUGGCUCAGUUGGUGAAGCAUCUGACUUCAGCUCAGGUCAUGAUCUCAUGGUUCGUGGGUUUGAGCCCCACAUCAGGCU
rnacentral:tRNA from 1 species